rnacentral:rRNA from 1 species
GAUGAACGUUGGCGGCGUGCCUAAUACAUGCAAGUCGAACGAAGACUGUAGUAAUACUGUCUUAGUGGCGAACGGGUGAGUAACGCGUGGGUGACCUGCCCCGAAGUGUGGGAUAACAGUCCGAAAGGAUUGCUAAUACUGCAUAAUAUCCAAGAGAUUAGAUGCUUUUGGAUUAAAGGAGUAAUUCGCUUCGGGAGGGGCCCGCGUCCCAUCAGCUAGUUGGUAAGGUAAUGGCUUACCAAGGCGAUGACGGGUAGGGGACCUGAGAGGGUGGCCCCCCACAAUGGAACUGAAACACGGUCCAUACACCUACGGGUGGCAGCAGUAGGGAAUAUUAGUAAUGGGCGAAAGCCUGAACUAGCAACGCCGCGUGUGCGAAGAAGGCCUUCGGGUCGUAAAGCACUUUUUGUAGGGGAGUGAGGAAGGACGGUACUCUCAGAAUAAGUCUCGGCUAACUACGUG